AUGGUGCUAACGCCGGUGCCCCGGGCGAGCGCCCGAGCUGCAGGUCAGCCAGAGAGACCUGCCCCCGGCCGCCGCUCCCCCCCCGGGGCAGGGGCUGCGUGUCCCGUCCCCCUCCCCUCACCCCCUCACCGGGGGGCUCCCCGACACCCCCAGCGGGGUGGGUGCCAGCCCUGCCCCUCUGCAUCCCACCGGGAUCAGGCGGGGAGGCUCAGAUCCACGGUGCUGGGUGGCUCGUGGUGUGGGAUGCUCUGCCGGGGAACGCCACGGGAUGCUCUGCCGGAAAAUGCUGUGGGAUGCUCUGCCGGGGAAUGCCAGAGGGUGCUCUGCUGGAAAAUCCCGUGGGAUGUUCUGCUGGUGAAAGCCAUGGGAUGCUCUGCUGGAAAAUCCCAUGGGAUGUUUUGCCAGCAAAUGCCAUGGGAAGUUCUGCUGGCAAACACUGCGGGAUGCUCUUUCGGUGAGUUCCACGGGAUGCUCCACUGGAAUGUAGGGUGGGAUGCUCUGCUGGAAAAUGCCUCAUGGGAUGCUCUGCUGGAAAACCCCCCAGGAUGCUCUGCUGGCAAACGCCAUGGGAUGCUCUGCCGGCAAAUACGACGGGCUGCUUCACCAGUGAAUCCCAGGGGAUGCUCUGCUGGAAAAACGCCAGCCGGGCACGCCACGCUCCAGCAGACGGGGGUCAUUCUGCCUCCCCCCCCCUCAUCCUUCCACCCCCGUGGGCCACUCUCGUCCCCGGUGCCGGCGGGAGGGUGGCCGGUGCGGGGCCGGGGGGCAGCUGGAGGUUCAGCGUGAGGCUGGAGCCGGGAGAAGGGGAGAAGGAGCAGCUUCUUGGGGUCCCCCAGGAGCCUGGGGACGGGGCUGGGGGGGUCCCGGUGCCGGGGAGGGGGGUGUCCUGCCGGCGGGUGCUGGUGUCUCUCAGUGGGUGACUCGUUUAGGUGGAAAAAAAAAAUCCUCGACCUUUUCUUUUUUUUUUAUUAUUAUUGUUAUUAUUAUUUUAUUUUUUUUUCCUCGUCUGAGUAAAUCAGUGCUCAUACUGUAGGUGUUUUUGUAUGGCAGCAAUAUAAGUGCAAAUUACAGUAGCCGCUUGUACUUUGUUAGUGCGUUUGCCAAAAAACAAACAAAAACAAAAAAAAAGGAAAAAAAAAAAUUAUUUGCCAAACUCUGAUCUUGUUGCCAAACGCGAAUCCCAGGUGUGUGGGGGCUGUGGGGAGGGGGGCAGGGGUGUCCGUGCCGUGGGCUCCUCGCAGCGUCUGCAUCGUCCCCGUCUCCGCGUCCCGUUCCCGGUCGUGCCGUAGCCCGAUUCCUCGCACAGUGUUCGGUAUUUUGUGGAGUUGUUGUUCAGAAGUGAUGAUAAUCGAGAACACAAUAAAAAGGCUCACUUUUCAUUUUGCCA
rnacentral:lncRNA from 1 species